rnacentral:rRNA from 1 species
GACGAACGCUGGCGGCGUGCCUAAUACAUGCAAGUAGAACGCUGAAGGAGGAGCUUGCUUCUCUGGAUGAGUUGCGAACGGGUGAGUAACGCGUAGGUAACCUGCCUGGUAGCGGGGGAUAACUAUUGGAAACGAUAGCUAAUACCGCAUAAUAGCAGUUGUUGCAUGACAACUGUUUGAAAGGUGCAAUUGCACCACUACCAGAUGGACCUGCGUUGUAUUAGCUAGUUGGUGGGGUAACGGCUCACCAAGGCGACGAUACAUAGCCGACCUGAGAGGGGGAUCGGCCACACUGGGACUGAGACACGGCCCAGACUCCUACGGGAGGCAGCAGUAGGGAAUCUUCGGCAAUGGACGGAAGUCUGACCGAGCAACGCCGCGGGAGUGAAGAAGGGUUUCGGAUCGUAAAGCUCUGUUGUAAGAGAAGAACGAGUGUGAGAGUGGAAAGUUCACACUGUGACGGUAUCUUACCAGAAAGGGACGGCUAACUACGUG